rnacentral:tRNA from 1 species
GGCGGAGUGGCCGAGGCGAAGGCGGUAAAUUGUAAAUUUACUUACGAAUUCUAUUCCUCCACCA